CACACAGCGGGUACAGAGCAGAGUAUAUGAAGAAACAAGAAAAUAUUAUUCUUAUUUAUAAAAUGCCAACAAAUUCUGCAGCGCUGUACAAUGGGUGGACUAACAGACACGCAUUUGUAACCAGACGAGUUGGACACACAGGAACAGAGGGACUGAGGGCCCUGCUCAAUGAGCUUACAUGCUAGAGGUAGUGGGGUAUAGUGACACAGUAACAGAGGGAUUGAGGCCCUGCUCAGUGAGUUUACAUGUUAGAGGGAGUGGGGUAUAGUGACACAGUAACAGAGGGAUUGAGGGGCCUGCUCAGUGAGUUUACAUGUUAGAGGGAGUGGGGUAUAGUGACACAGUAACAGAGGGAUUGAGGGCCUGCUCAGUGAGUUUACAUGUUAGAGGGAGUGGGGUAUAGUGACACAGUAACAGAGGGAUUGAGGGCCUGCUCAGUGAGUUUACAUGUUAGAGGGAGUGGGGUAUAG